UUCGUAGGGGGCAAGCGUUGUCCGGAUUCAUUGGGCGUAAAGAGCGUGUAGGCGGCCAGGUAGUUCGGUUUUGAAAACUGGAGGCUCAACCUUCAGAGGUCGACCGAAACCAUCUGGCUAGAGUCCGGGAGAGGAGAGUGGAAUUCCUGGUGUAGCGGUGAAAUGCGCAGAUAUCAGGAAGAACACCCGUGGCGAAAGCGGCUCUCUGGAACGGUACUGACGCUGAGACGCGAAAGCGUGGGGAGCGAACAGG
rnacentral:rRNA from 1 species